UAGUCCACGCUGUAAACGAUGGAUACUAGCUGUCGGGUUUUCGGACUCGGUGGCCAAGCGAAAGUGAUAAGUAUCCCACCUGGGGAGUACGUUCGCAAGAAUGAAACUCAAAGGAAUUGACGGGGGCCCGCACAAGCGGUGGAGCAUGUGGUUUAAUUCGAUGAUACGCGAGGAACCUUACCAGGGCUUAAAUGCAUAAUGACAGGGGUAGAGAUACCUUUUUCUUCGGACAUUUUGCAAGGUGCUGCAUGGUUGUCGUCAGCUCGUGCCGUGAGGUGUCGGGUUAAGUCCCAUAACGAGCGCAACCCCUAUCUUUAGUUGCCAGCGGAUAAUGCCGGGGACUCUAAAGAAACUGCCCGUGUAAACGGAGAGGAAGGUGGGGAUGACGUCAAAUCAUCACGGCCCUUACGUCCUGGGGCUACACACGUGCUACAAUGGGCAGGGGACAGUUAGUCGCAAAACCGCGAGGGUGGAGCUAAUCUAUAAACCCUGUCUCAGUUCGGGAUCGGGAGUCUGCAACUCGACUCCGUGAA
rnacentral:rRNA from 1 species